rnacentral:rRNA from 1 species
AUGCUGGACCGCCUGACUCUGCAAGAGGACGAGCUUGAUGAUCUGGUAUGGGAUGACGAGAUUGAUGCAGCGGAAGCAAGACCCAAGUGGUUGGCACUAUGCCGUCUUCUGACGAAUAAAUCCUUUAGCCAGAGUGCUCUGAUUGGGGACAUGAAGGCCGCUUGGAACCCGGCACAGCCGGUGGUAUGGAGACGCAUAAACCGUAAUCUCUUUUCGAUCCAGUUUAAUUGCCUUGGUGAU